ACAGGUAUGUGGAUAAAUAGUGACUAUUAUCUUAAUAUUAUCUCAUCAGAAGGGCCAAUAUAGAGGAGAAAUAAUGGUCACCGUUUGUUGCUAUCAUCAUUAGGGUUGCAAGUGGAUGAAUACAUCUGCUUUCAAUCUGGAAACAAUCCAGAAUUAAUUCAGUAUAAAUGGAACCAAAGUUAUUAUUUAGAUUAGGCUUGAUUUCAAAAACAUGACCUAUCUCAAAUAUGAAUUGGAUUUGGAUUAUCAAAUCACAC
rnacentral:lncRNA from 1 species